rnacentral:rRNA from 1 species
UACGUAGGGGGCGAGCGUUGUCCGGAGUUACUGGGCGUAAAGCGCUUGUAGGCGGUCCACCAAGUUUGGGGUGACAGUUGCCGACUUAAUCGGCAAAGUGCCUCAAAGACUGGCGGACUUGAGGGCCACAGAGGGACAUGGAACUCCAGGUGUAGUGGUGAAAUGCGUAGAUAUCUGGAAGAACCCCAAAGGCGAAGGCAGUGUCCUGGGUGGUCGCUGACGCUGAGAGGCGAAAGCUAGGGGAGCGAACGGG